GCAGAAGGCUUCGGACGUCGGGCGUCGGGCCAAGGAGAGUGGAAUUGCGCCAAGGAUAUUGGGGUUGCGGAGGUCAACCGCCGAUUGGGCAACAAGCCGCAAGAGAGGACGAUGCACCGAAGAAUCGGACGAAGCGCCAACCAAUGACGUGCCGGGCAACAGAAUGUCAAUUCACGUUGUAAUAAUUGUCUAGAUCGGAGUAGAGUUUUGGCUUAUGUGUGUAGGAUUAACUACGAUAACGAUGAAGACAUAAAGCGAAACAAAGUGCCGGAGUCAAGCACGAAGGAUUCGUUGGGAGUUCGAGAGUUCGACGGAAGUCCGACGGUUCUUCGGGAAUGCUGCCGGAACUAGCCGAGAAUGAGUAGGGAGCUUGCCGAAGGGUUUUUCGGAAGCUCGCCAAAAGGUUCGUCGGAAGUUCACGGAGCUCACCGAGAAAGAUCGGAGCUUG
rnacentral:lncRNA from 1 species